rnacentral:snRNA from 1 species
AUACUUACCUGGCAGGGGAGAUACCAUGAUGACGAAGGUGAUUUUCCCUGGGCGAGGCUUAUCCAUUGCACUCUGGAUGUGCUGACCUCUGCGAUUUCCUCAAAUGCGGGAAACUCGACUGCAUAAUAGAAAAGAAAAAAAAACAACUUCUAUCAUUUGUGUGAAAGCUUUUUCUUUUUC